CCCACUCCAUUGCAAAUAUCCCAAAUUAAAACGAGGAAUCAUUUGAGUUGUCGCAAUUUAUAAUUUCCUAUUGACUCUGCCACAAACCUCAUCUCUCGUAAGCCCUAGACCCUAAAUUUAAUCGCUCUGCUUCAAAUUAAUUCCCAAACUCACCGACGCAAACAGCUCCGCUUCAGAUUCUCACACUCACUCAGAAAAAUACACACAAACGCACUGGUGACUUCAAACCGAUAUUUCUGAAGUUUUAUCACCGGAAACGGUGGUUUAGAAGCUGAAUUGGAGCAAUUGCGGUUCGUCGAUUAUCAAGGGUUUGUUGUUGCUUGUGAUGUACAUUCAAAAGCCGUUGAAUAGUUCUUACAAUUAGUGAAACAAUACCAUGAAAAGUAUGCAUUCUUUCAGCGGCUGAACGGAUAGCAAACUUUGUUCCUUGAGCUUGUAUAUUGGGAGGAAAAGCAUUUGCUAUAUAUGUACAAGCCAAGAGAAUUGUAAAAUUAAUUACUGAUAUCGGGGAUACCAUAAAUCAUGAUCUGGAUAUUGGUGAUUUGUUGAAGGUACACUAUUUUGUCUCAAAUGUAAUUCUUAGGGAAGAAAUAUACAUUUUGGAGGAGGAGGAUAUUGAGCUUUCUUUGCGAGAUUUUGAUAUUUAUGCUCCAUAAAUAUUCUUCUGAAAACAUGCAUGGGAGCACAUUAUGGAGCAAUUACGAUGUAUGGGAGCACCAUCUAUUCAUAGGCCUGAUCCCGAUUCAAAUGGUGGUAGUGUUCCAGUA